rnacentral:rRNA from 1 species
AUGGCCCUGUUUGAGGAAUUCUUCAUCGGGGCCGUUGACGUCACCAGGCUGAAUUUUGGGAUAAUCACCCUCAUCCCCAAAGUAAGCGCGGCUUCAGAUAUCCGCCAGUUUCGGCCGAUUACAGCGAGUAAUGUCAUCUUCCACAUCCUCGCGAAGGGUGAUUCGAGGCUCGAGGUGGCGGAGCUGCGCCCCAUGGUGGGGAAGCUCCAACACCGCAUCGAGCCCUGGCAGGGCCGGUGGCUCUCGAAGGCGGCCCAGACGGUGCUUAUUAACUCGUCCCUUGCCAGACUACUCUUGUUCAUCAUGAGUUUCUGCAGCCUUCCUGAGAUGCUACAUCACGAGAUUGCCACAGUUCAGGGCCGCUUCUUCUGGGCCGGCGAGGGCGAUAAGUAG